rnacentral:rRNA from 1 species
CCUACGGGUGGCAGCAGUGAGGAAUAUUGGUCAAUGGACGAGAGUCUGAACCAGCCAAGCAGCGUGAAGGAUGACUGCCCUAUGGGUUGUAAACUUCUUUUAUAUGGGAAUAAAGUUCAGUAUGUAUACUGCUUUGUAUGUACCAUACGAACAAGGAUCGGCCAACUCCGUGCCAGCAGCCGCGGCAAUACGGAGGAUCCGAGCGUUAUCCGGAUUUAUUGGGUUUAAAGGGAGCGUAGGCGGACGAUUAAGUCAGUUGUGAAAGUUUGGGGCUCAACCGGAAAAUUGCAGUUGAUACUGGGUGUCUUGAGUGCAGGAGAGGUAGGCGGAAGUCGUGGUGUAGCAGUGAAAUGCGUAGAUAUCACGAAGAACUCCGAUGGCGAAGGCAGCUUACUGGACUGUAACUGACGCUGAUGCACGAAAGUGUGGGUAGCAAACAGGAUUAGAUACCCGAGUAGUC